UUAACUCAAAUUUGUAUGGCGUUGCAAUGUUUGCCUACGUUUGCCAUUAGGGGCGCUGUUCCAACUGCAUACAAAUUCAAAAUU
rnacentral:pre_miRNA from 1 species